GCAGUGGUGGUUCCGUGGUAGAACACUCACCUUCCAUGUGGGAGACCCAUGUUUGAUUCCUGGCCGAUGCA
rnacentral:tRNA from 1 species